AUUGAACGCUGGCGGCAGGCCUAACACAUGCAAGUCGAACGAGUGGCGGACGGGUGAGUCAUGUCUGGAAACCUGCCUGAUGGAGGGGGAUAACUACUGGAAAAGGUAGCUAAUAACGCAUACCAUCGGAUGUGCCCAGAUGGGAUGAGCUAGUAGGUGGGGUAACGGCUCACAUAGGCGACGAUCCCUCGCUGGUCUGAGAGGAUGACCAGCCACACGUGAACUGAGACACGGUCCAGACUCCUACGGGAGGCAGCAGUGGGGAAUAUUGCACAAUGGGCGCAAGCCUGAUGCAGCCAUGCCGCUGGUAUGAAGAAGGCCUUCGGGUUGUAAAGUACUUUCAGCGGGGAGGCGGUACCCGCAGAAGAAGCACCGGCUAACUCCGUGCCAGAAGCCGCGGUAAUAC
rnacentral:rRNA from 1 species